UGAGUACGAGCUGCUACGGCAGCGAAGUGGGUGAUGUCAAGCUUCCAAGAAAAGCCCUACACCCGUUAAGGCAUGAUGGCCUGUACCCGAAACCGACACAGGUGGGGUGGUAGAGAAUACCGAGGGGCGCGAGGUAACUCUCUCUAAGGAACUCGGCAAAAUGGCCCCGUAACUUCGGGAGAAGGGGUGCCACCGCAAGGUGGUCGCAGUGAGGAGGCCCAGGCGACUGUUUACCAAAAACACAGGUCUCCGCUAAGUCGCAAGACGAUGUAUGGGGGCUGACGCCUGCCCAGUGCCGGAAGGUUAAGGAAGCUGGUCAGCGCAAGCGAAGCUGGCGACUGAAGCCCCGGUGAACGGCGGCCGUAACUAUAACGGUCCUAAGGUAGCGAAAUUCCUUGUCGGGUAAGUUCCGACCCGCACGAAAGGCGUAACGAUCUGGGCGCUGUCUCGGAGAGAGGCUCGGCGAAAUAGAAUUGUCUGUGAAGAUGCGGACUACGUGCACCCGGACAGUAAGACCCUAUGAAGCUUUACUGUAGCUUGGUAUUGUGCCCGGGCUCUAAAUGCGCAGGAUAGGUGGGAGGCUUUGAUCCAUUGCUUGUGGGUGAUGGUGAGCCAACGGUGAGAUACCACUCUUUCAGAGCUAGGGUUCUAACGGUCACCCGUUAUCCGGGGACCGGACAGUAUCAGGUGGGCAGUUUGACUGGGGCGGUCGCCUCCUAAAAGGUAACGGAGGCGCGCAAGGGUUCCCUCAGGCUGGUUGGAAAUCAGCCGAUGAGUGUAAAGGCAGAAGGGAGCUUGACUGUGAGACCUACAAGUCGAACAGGGACGAAAGUCGGCCUUAGUGAUCCGACGGUUCUGAGUGGAAGGGCCGUCGCUCAACGGAUAAAAGUUACUCUAGGAUAACAGGCUGAUCUCCCCCAAGAGUUCACAUCGACGGGAGGUUUGGCACCUCGAUGUCGGCUCAUCGCAACCUGGGGCUGAAGUCGGUCCCAAGGGUUGGGCUGUUCGCCCAUUAAAGCGGUACGCGAGCUGGGUUCAGAACGUCGUGAGACAGUUCGGUCCAUAUCCGGUGCAUGCGCAGGAAUAUUGAGAGGAUUUCUCCCUAGUACGAGAGGACCGGGAGGAACGCACCUCUGGUGUACCAGUUAUCGUGCCAACGGUAAACGCUGGGUAGCCAUGUGCGGAGUGGAUAACCGCUGAAAGCAUCUAAGUGGGAAGCCCACCUCAAGAUGAGUAUUCCCAUGGCGUUAGCCAGUAAGGUCACGGGCAGAACACCCGUUGAUAGGCUCUACGUGGAAGCCGGGUAACCGGUGAAGCGGAGGAGUACUAAUAGACCGAGGGCCUG
rnacentral:rRNA from 1 species